rnacentral:rRNA from 1 species
UACGUAGGGGGCAAGCGUUGUCCGGAAUCAUUGGGCGUAAAGAGCGCGUAGGCGGCCCUGUAAGUCCGCUGUGAAAGUCAAGGGCUCAACCCUUGAAUGCCGGUGGAUACUGCAGGGCUAGAGUCCGGAAGAGGCGAGUGGAAUUCCUGGUGUAGCGGUGAAAUGCGCAGAUAUCAGGAGGAACACCGAUGGCGAAGGCAGCUCGCUGGGACGGUACUGACGCUGAGACGCGAAAGCGUGGGGAGCAACAGG